UUCUCAUAUUCUAAUGACCAA
ensembl:piRNA 21ur-5873 ncRNA